CCUUCGAAAAUCUGAACAAAAUGAGUGAGAACUCACUACUGUCUCCUCAUCGCAAACUGAGGUCC
rnacentral:snoRNA from 1 species